rnacentral:rRNA from 1 species
CCUACGGGUGGCAGCAGGGGGGGAUAUUGGACAAUGGGGGAAACCCUGAUCCAGCGACGCCGCGUGCGUGAAGAAGUAUUUCGGUAUGUAAAGCUCGAUCAGCAGGGAAGACAGAACUGACGGUACCUGUGUAAUAAGCCUCGGCUAACUACGUGCCAGCAGCCGCUGGAAUACGUAGGGUGCACGCGUUAUCCGGAUUGACUGGUUGUCAAGGGAGCGUAGACGGGGAGACAAGUCUGAAGUUAAAGCCCGGGGCUCAACCCCGGGACUGGGUUGGAAACUGCCUGACUGGAGUGCUUGAGAGGCAAGCGGAAUUCCUGGUGUAGCGGUGAAAUGCUUAGAUAUUAGGAAGAACACCAGUGGCGAAGGCGGCUUGCUGGACAGUAACUGACGUUGAGGCUCGAAAGCGUGGGGAGCAAACAGGAUUAGAUACCCCUGUAGUC